rnacentral:rRNA from 1 species
CCUACGGGGGGCAGCAGUGGGGAAUAUUGGGCACUGGGCGCAAGCCUGACCCAGCAACGCCGCGUGAAGGAAGAAGGCUUUCGGGUUGUAAACUUCUUUUCUCAGGGACGAAGCAAGUGACGGUACCUGCGGAAUAAGCCACGGCUAACUACGUGCCAGCAGCCGCGGUAAUACGGAGGGGGCAAGCGUUAUCCGGAUUUACUGGGUGUAAAGGGCGUGUAGGCGGGAAAGUAAGUCAGAUGUGAAAACCAUGGGCUCAACCGGUGGCCUGCAUUUGAAACUGUUUUUCUUGAGUACUGGGGAGGCAGACGGAAUUCGUAGUGUAGCGGUGAAAUGCGUAGAUAUUAGGAGGAACACCAGUGGCGAAGGCGGUCUGCUGGACAGCAACUGACGCUGAGGCGCGAAAGCGUGGGGAGCAAACAGGAUUAGAUACCCCAGUAGUC